rnacentral:rRNA from 1 species
GACGAACGCUGGCGGCGUGCUUAACACAUGCAAGUCGAACGAAGUGGCGAACGGGUGAGUAACGCGUAAUCAACCUGCCCUUCAGAGGGGGACAACAGUUGGAAACGACUGAUAAUACCGCAUACUGAAGGAGGGGAUUGCGUCUGAUUAGCUCGUUGGAGGGGUAACGGCCCACCAAGGCGAUGAUCAGUAGCCGGGCUGGGAGGAUGAACGGCCACAUUGGGACUGGGAAACGGCCCAGACUCCUACGGGAAGCAGCAGUGGGGAAUCUUCCGCAAUGGAGGAAAGUCUGACGGAGCAACGCCGCGGGAGUGAUGACGGCCUUCGGGUUGUAAAGCUCUGUUAAUCGGGACGCGGUACCGGAAUAGAAAGCCACGGCUAACUACGUGCCAGCAGCCGCGGUAAUAC